rfam:Triticum aestivum genome assembly, contig: Triticum_aestivum_CS42_TGACv1_scaffold_130030_2BL
CAUCUACUCCCUCGGUCCAGAAAUACUUGUCACCAAAAUGAAUAAAAAGGAUUGUAUCUAGAUAUAUUUUAGUUCUAGAUACAUCUCUUUUUAUCCAUUUUGAUGACAAAUAUUUUCGGACGGAGGGAGUAUUUU